GCUUCUGAACACCGGGGGAAACUUUGUGUUAUUCAUGGAAAACCAAACCAGCUUAUUUUAAAAUUCCGACUCGACUGGAUAGCAUAUACCUUCAGAGAAACCGGCAGAAGGAGCAGCAGCGCCUGCAAGGUUUGGCUGCAUACCUUCAAAGGCAACAAUUAAUGGAAGCUAGUUUGUAGGCUCUGUCCUCAGCUCCUUUGUAGGACCUUCAGCAUCCUGUGAAACAAAAUCUGGUACCUUAGAAGGUUUAGAGCAAUAACGUACCUGCAUUUGAGGGAACCACAUGUACCACCCAAAUGAGCUGUUAACAAGGAUGCUGGGCAAGUGGUAUUUACGUAGUCAGCGUUUCCUUUUAGACAUAAAAUGGAACACACGAUCUAGCAUUCCCCACGCUUUUGUAAGAUGGAAAACCACCCACGGGAAACAGCGUGUACAGUACCCAUGUGCAGCAUAAAAACAUUUCACAAAUAAUGAAAACAUCCCUUUUGAAAAUCUCAACAAAAACAGAUCCCAUUGGGACCAGACUGUCAGUGCCUCCCAAAACAAGGCAGAAAUAUCUAGCCUAUAAAAUAUGCCAAAGGUGACCAGUAAGUAUCCCACUAAUGUCUGAAACUGCUCACUGCUUCGUUUGCUGAAAAAAAGUAAGUAUGACUUUUGUAUUUAAAUCUUAGGCACCAUGUUAACAGAUUCACUACAUUACCCUUUAAGGUCUAUUCUCUCCUAACAGCUACUCAGGAAGACACCUAUCUGUCCAUUGGGAAAAGUGGAAUUAACAUCUCUUGGUUAUGCAGAUCAAUUCUGCUGGGCAUCAGCUUCUGUAACAGUGCAAAAGAAUUCUGGAAUCCCUGAAGAAUGACAAAUGUGAUCCAAAAGCAUCUUCCAGUCCAGAAGUUCUCUGCAGGUGGAAUUUCUCAAGACAAAACACUGACAAAGAAGCAGCCAUGUUUCUUUCAAAAAUAAAAAAUUAAAAAAUUCAGGCCUAAUGGUUACCACUGAGCUUGUAACUAAAGGAAUGGAGUACAGAAGGAUGACUUUGGCAUAACACA